rnacentral:rRNA from 1 species
AGUGAACGCUGGCGGUAGGCCUAACACAUGCAAGUCGAACGGCAGCACAGUAAGAGCUUGCUCUUACGGGUGGCGAGUGGCGGACGGGCGAGGAAUACAUCGGAAUCUACUUUUUCGUGGGGGAUAACGUAGGGAAACUUACGCUAAUACCGCAUACGACCUACGGGUGAAAGCAGGGGAUCUUCGGACCUUGCGCGAUUGAAUGAGCCGAUGUCGGAUUAGCUAGUUGGCGGGGUAAAGGCCCACCAAGGCGACGAUCCGUAGCUGGUCUGAGAGGAUGAUCAGCCACACUGGAACUGAGACACGGUCCAGACUCCUACGGGAGGCAGCAGUGGGGAAUAUUGGACAAGGGGCGCAAGCCUGAUCCAGCCAUACCGCGUGGGUGAAGAAGGCCUUCGGGUUGUAAAGCCCUUUUGUUGGGAAAGAAAAGCAGCAGGUUAAUACCCCGCUGUUCUGACGGUACCCAAAGAAUAAGCACCGGCUAACUUCGUG